rnacentral:rRNA from 1 species
GAACGCUGGCGGCGUGCCUAAUACAUGCAAGUCGAGCGAAUCGAUGGGAGCUUGCUCCCUGAGAUUAGCGGCGGACGGGUGAGUAACACGUGGGCAACCUGCCUAUAAGACUGGGAUAACUUCGGGAAACCGGAGCUAAUACCGGAUACGUUCUUUUCUCGCAUGAGAGAAGAUGGAAAGACGGUUUUGCUGUCACUUAUAGAUGGGCCCGCGGCGCAUUAGCUAGUUGGUGAGGUAAUGGCUCACCAAGGCGACGAUGCGUAGCCGACCUGAGAGGGUGAUCGGCCACACUGGGACUGAGACACGGCCCAGACUCCUACGGGAGGCAGCAGUAGGGAAUCUUCCGCAAUGGACGAAAGUCUGACGGAACAUCGCCGCGUGAACGAAGAAGGCCUUCGGGUCGUAAAGUUCUGUUGUUAGGGAAGAACAAGUCCC